UAGUCUGCAACUCGACUACAUGAAGCUGGAAUCGCUAGUAAUCGCGAAUCAGAAUGUCGCGGUGAAUACGUUCCCGGGCCUUGUACACACCGCCCGUCACACCAUGAGAGUUGGGAAUACCCGAAGCCUGUGAGCUAACUUAUAGAGGCAGCAGUCGAAGGUAGAAUCAAUGAUUGGGGUGAAGUCGUAACAAGGUACC
rnacentral:rRNA from 1 species